ensembl:snoRNA LOC120101248 small nucleolar RNA SNORA44
AAGAAAGUUUCUUUGGAUCUCCAACUGCAUGCCAGAGUAAUGGAGAGACUUUGACAGCCCAGGUCAUCACAGUGCCUGCAGUUGCCACUCAGUUCUCCUAUAUGU